rnacentral:rRNA from 1 species
UACGAAGGGGGGCUAGCGUUGCUCGGAAUUACUGGGCGUAAAGCGCACGUAGGCGGGUUGUUAAGUCGGGGGUGAAAUCCUGGAGCUCAACUCCAGAACUGCCUUCGAAACUGACGAUCUUGAGUUCGGGAGAGGUGAGUGGAACUGCGAGUGUAGAGGUGAAAUUCGUAGAUAUUCGCAAGAACACCAGUGGCGAAGGCGGCUCACUGGCCCGAUACUGACGCUGAGGUGCGAAAGCGUGGGGAGCGAACAGG